CCAAAGUAAGAAUUUUUUAUGCUGAUAGCUUUUAAAAUGUCAGCGAAUUCGAUUAACUGGACACACUACGGUGUAAGGUUUAAAAACUGACGGGUAUUGUGUAUAUACGUUAGAUGUUUGAAGAUCAAAUUUCGCGCGUCUGGAGUUAAAAUUUGGCUCCAACUUUCGAAUUUUCCGGCUGGAGGUAACAUUCCAGUUAUAUUCCGAUUUCAAUGAUGCGUAAAUGCGUGAUUAAUAGUGCUCCAAGACGUGGAACAGAUUUUAAUUAGAAAUGCCGAGAUGUGCCGACUUAGGUCAGACUUAUGUGCCGACUUAG